UACGGGGGGGGCAAGCGUUGUUCGGAAUUACUGGGCGUAAAGGGCUCGUAGGCGGCCAACUAAGUCGGAUGUGAAAUCCCCAGGCUUAACUUGGGAACUGCAUCCGAUACUGGAUGGCUUGAAUCCAGGAGAGGGAUGCGGAAUUCCAGGUGUAGCGGUGAAAUGCGUAGAUAUCUGGAGGAAUACCGGUGGCGAAGGCGGCAUCCUGGACCGACAUUGACGCUGAGGAGCGAAAGCUAGGGGAGCAAACGGG
rnacentral:rRNA from 1 species